CACGUAGGCACCAAGCGUUGUCCGGAUUUAUUGGGCGUAAAGAGCUCGUAGGCGGUUGAGUAAGUCGGGUGUGAAAACUCUGGGCUUAACCCAGAGCCGCCACCCGAUACUGCUCUGACUUGAGUUCGGUAGGGGAGCAGGGAAUUCCUAGUGUAGCGGUGAAAUGCGCAGAUAUCGAGAGGAACACCUGCGGCGAAGGCGGGUCUCUGGGCAUUAACUGACGCUGAGGAGCGAAAGCAUGGGGAGCGAACAGG
rnacentral:rRNA from 1 species